rfam:Gluconobacter oxydans H24, complete genome.
UCGUGUAAGGGAGAUGGAGUUCCUCCCGUAACCGCCCUAAGGGCUGAUGACUCCUGCCGAAGC